AUUGCUUCUCGGCUUUUUGGCUAAGAUCAAGUACAGUAUCUGUUCUUAUCAGUUUAAUAAAAAUUAUUUUAAUAUAACAUAGGGCUGGAACGAUAGCACAGCGGUAGGGCAUUUGCCUUGUGGGCAGCCAGCUCGGCUGAGCCGGGUUCGAUUCCUCCACUCCUCUCGGAGAGCUCGGCAAGCUAC